AGUAAUGCUUGGGAAUCUAGCUUAUGGAGGGGGAUAACUACGGGAAACUGUAGCUAAUACCGCGUAGUAUCGAGAGAUGAAAGUGUGGGACCUUCGGGCCACAUGCCAUAGGAUGAGCCCAAGUGGGAUUAGGUAGUUGGCGAGGUAAAGGCUCACCAAGCCGACGAUCUCUAGCUGGUCUGAGAGGAUGACCAGCCACACUGGGACUGAGACACGGCCCAG
rnacentral:rRNA from 1 species